UGGGGAAUCUUGCGCAAUGCGCGAAAGCGUGACGCAGCAACGCCGCGUGGGGGAAGAAGGCUUUCGGGUUGUAAACCCCUUUCAGUUGGGACGAAGCUUCGGCGGUGAAUAGCCGACCGGAGUGACGGUACCUUCACAAGAAGCACCGGCUAACUACGUGCCAGCAGCCGCGGUAAUACGUAGGGUGCAAGCGUUGUCCGGAAUUAUUGGGCGUAAAGAGCGUGUAGGCGGCCCCAUUAGUCCGCUGUGAAAGUCCAGGGCUCAACCCUGGAAUGCCGGUGGAUACUGUGGGGCUAGAGUCCGGAAGGGGCGAGUGGAAUUCCUGGUGUAGCGGUGAAAUGCGCAGAUAUCAGGAGGAACACCAAUGGCGAAGGCAGCUCGCUGGGACGUGACUGACGCUGAGACGCGAAAGCGUGGGGAGCAAACAGGAUUAGAUACCCCUGUAGUCC
rnacentral:rRNA from 1 species